AUUGAGGAACACGAUUUCAACACCAAAUUACGGAAUGCCCGCAAGUUCCUUCAAAAAGGUGACAAGGUGAAGGCAGCUGUUCGAUUCCGCGGUCGUGCUAUUACCCAUAAAGAGCUUGGUCAAGAGGUUCUAGAGCGUAUGGCUGAGGAAUGUAAAGAUAUUGCUACGAUUGAGACCAAGCCAAAAAUGGAAGGUCGUAACAUGUUCAUGAUGCUUGCCCCUACCAAUGAAAAAUAAGCUGGCGUAACAGAGCAGCACUAAAUCAAAGGAGGAUAACAUUAUGCCUAAAAUGAAAACCCAUAAAGGUACACAAAAACGUUUUA
rnacentral:misc_RNA from 1 species